UGGGGAAUAUUGGACAAUGGGGGCAACCCUGAUCCAGCAAUGCCGCGUGUGUGAAGAAGGCCUUCGGGUUGUAAAGCACUUUUAUCGGGAAAGAAACACGCAGAGCUAAUACCUUUGCGGACUGACGGUACCCGAUGAAUAAGCACCGGCUAACUCCGUGCCAGCAGCCGCGGUAAUACGGAGGGUGCAAGCGUUAAUCGGAAUUACUGGGCGUAAAGGGUGCGUAGGUGGUUCGCUAAGUCCGUUGUGAAAGCCCCGAGCUCAACUUGGGAAUUGCAGUGGAUACUGGCGAGCUAGAGUGCGGUAGAGGAAGGUGGAAUUCCCGGUGUAGCGGUGAAAUGCGUAGAGAUCGGGAGGAACACCAGUGGCGAAGGCGGCCUUCUGGACCAGCACUGACACUCAAGCACGAAAGCGUGGGGAGCAAACA
rnacentral:rRNA from 1 species